AGCGAACGCUGGCGGCAGGCCUAAUACAUGCAAGUCGAACGGUCUCUUCGGAGGCAGUGGCGGACGGGUGAGUAACGCGUGGGAACGUGCCCUUUGGUACGGAACAACUGAGGGAAACUUCAGCUAAUACCGUAUGUGCCCUUCGGGGGAAAGAUUUAUCGCCAUUGGAGCGGCCCGCGUUGGAUUAGCUAGUUGGUGGGGUAAUGGCCCACCAAGGCGACGAUCCAUAGCUGGUCUGAGAGGAUGAUCAGCCACACUGGGACUGAGACACGGCCCAGACUCCUACGGGAGGCAGCAGUAGGGAAUCUUGCGCAAUGGGCGAAAGCCUGACGCAGCCAUGCCGCGUGAAUGAUGAAGGUCUUAGGAUUGUAAAAUUCUUUCACCGGGGACGAUAAUGACGGUACCCGGAGAAGAAGCCCCGGCUAACUUCGUGCCAGCAGCCGCGGUAAU
rnacentral:rRNA from 1 species